CAGCCGCCACGGGAACACGAAGGGGGCUAGCGUUGUUCGGAUUUACUGGGCGUAAAGCGCACGUAGGCGGAUCGAUCAGUCAAGGGUGAAAUCCUGGAGCUCAACUCCAGAACUGCCUUUGAUACUGUCGAUCUCGAGUCCGGAAGAGGUGAGUGGAACUCCUAGUGUAGAGGUGGAAUUCGUAGAUAUUAGGAAGAACACCAAUGGCGAAGGCGGCUCACUGGUCCGGUACUGACGCUGAGGUGCGAAAGCGUGGGGAGCAAACAGGAUUAGAUACCCCAGUAGUCCCUGUCUCUUAUAC
rnacentral:rRNA from 1 species